ensembl:snRNA U6 U6 spliceosomal RNA
GUGCUUGCUUCAGCAGCACAUAUACAUUUGAAAUAAUACAGGGAAGAUUAGCAUGGCCCUUAAACAAGAAUUAUUUGCAAAUUUUUGAAGUGUUCCAUAUUUUU